UACGUAGGUGGCAAGCGUUGUCCGGAAUUAUUGGGCGUAAAGCGCGCGCAGGCGGUCCUUUAAGUCUGAUGUGAAAGCCCACGGCUCAACCGUGGAGGGUCAUUGGAAACUGGGGGACUUGAGUGCAGGAGAGAAGAGUGGAAUUCCACGUGUAGCGGUGAAAAUGCGUAGAGAUGUGGAGGAACACCAGUGGCGAAGGCGACU
rnacentral:rRNA from 1 species